CCCUACGGGGUGCAGCAGGCGCGAAACCUUUACAAUGCACGAAAGUGUGAUAAGGGAAUCCUAAGUGCUCAUGCAUUGCAUGGGCUUUUGCUAAGGGUAAAAACCUUGGAGAAUAAGUGGUGGGUAAGACUGGUGCCAGCAGCCGCGGUAACACCAGCGCCACGAGUGGGAACCAUGAUUAUUUGGCCUAAAGCGUCCGUAGCUGGCGUGGUAAAUCUUUUGUGAAAUCGAACAGCUCAACUGUUCGGCGUGCAGAAGACACUGCCUAGCUCGAGACCGGGAGGGGUAAGGAGUAUUCCGGGGGAACCGGUAAAGUGGGAUAAUCCUCGGAGGACUACCUGUGGCGAAGGCGCCUUACCAGAACGGAUCUGACAGUGGGGGACGAAGGCUAGGGGAGCGAACCGGAUUAGAUACCCGAGUAGUCCUAGCAGUAAACGCUGUGGGUUAGGUGUUGCACCAUCUACGAGAUUGUGCAGUAUCGAAGCGAAGGCGUUAAACCCACCGCCUGGGAAGUAUGGUCGCAAGACUGAAACUUAAAGGAAUUGGCGGGGGAGCAC
rnacentral:rRNA from 1 species